UCACUCCCAGAAUGGCAAAAAGAUAGAUGAAGAUGGAGAAAUGUGCACCUAACAAUGCAUCUUUAUGAGCAAAGGAUUUUCUUUGGAAAAACUGUGAUUAUAUGAAAAUCAUAGGACAUUUUAUUUGUGAUUACAGGGCGUGGUGAAAACCUCUGCUAUCAUACUGGAUACAAGGUCUUUAACUUCUCAGCACCAGUUUUAUGGAGCCCCCACCGCUAAGCAAGUGUGCAAAAUGCAGUGCUGCUUCGCAUUGGGAAAUCCCCAAUCUGGUGCCAAGAGGUUCAUAAAUACAGUAAUGGACCCUCUUAUGUCAAAAGUGAGUACUGUUUAACAGCGUAAGUUGGAACAGCCUUCAGGAUGCUUUGCAGCUGCAGUUGUUCCACUGCAAGACAUCAAAAACUUCAUGAUGAUGGUUGUCACACCAGGUCCUAGAAAGGCAACCUACUUCAGUCUGCAAAGUGAACUAAAAGGGAAUGGUUGUUCAUACAUGGCCCUGAUGCCACUGACAUAAGAAACGCAAUGACAAGAGCGAUGAAGUAGGAAUUUGGUGGCAGAUGGUCAGGUCUGCAGGAAGUGUCCACCCAGCUUUGUUUGGCCCAUAUUCUGAAACAACUAGAAUAAACACUUAGUGUCAUAAUUUAUAAGCAUAUCAGUACCAAUAAAUCAGAAUCAUGCAAACA
rnacentral:antisense_RNA from 1 species